UAGAUGAAUAUGGCCUUGAACUUCUUGCU
rnacentral:piRNA from 1 species